AUGCUUGCUUCAGCAGCACACAGACUAAAAUUGGAGCAUACAGAGAAGAUUAAUUAGCAUGGCCCCUGCACCAGGUUGACACGCAGAUUCAUGAAGCAUUCUAUAUUUAA
ensembl:snRNA U6 U6 spliceosomal RNA